CAUGGGGUUGGCACCCCAUGCUGUAUGCUGUCGCUGCUCCGCAGCU
rnacentral:sRNA from 1 species